GUGUUACACUAAGGAGUCCCCCCAUCUUGCAGUACGGAUCCAGGAAGCCCCCCAAGGACAACAACCAGAUAAGCAUAUUUAGUAUAUUUAUACACCUAAUGUGUUUGUUUAAUUAAUGUCCCCAGCAGUACUGGUGAAGGGGCCAGGCCUCUGCAUUACAAUCCCCUGUCUUAACUUGAUUCGACUUGACUCUUAACUUUAGCCUUGGUCACCCUCUCACCUGUUUAACCACACCUGAUCCAAGCACCUUCUAAAGAUCAGGUGUGUUGAAAGGAUUUGCACAUUCAUGGGUGAAUACAUCUUUGCAGGGACCCAAUUAAUUUUAUUUAAAAAGUAUUGAUGAGAAAAUUCACGCAGGUGUCUAAUAACUGUUGAUGCACAAUUGAGUUUUGGAAAUUCCUACAUAACGUUCCUCAAGAUGUUCCUUGAUGAGUUUCGGUAUUCGCUGUUCUCUCCACAGCUGCAGUUUCGGCACGUCUUUGCUUUUCCAAGAAUUCUCAGAGUUGCUGCGUUUGGACACGUUUGGACGUGUUGCGACAGAUCAGGCGGUUGGAGAAGUCUGGAAGAAGGUGGAGGAAGAUGAGGAAAGAGUGCAGCUUCAUGGAGCUCCAGUACGCUCUGAGAGACGUGGGAAAGACUGGAAUGUGGGCGGAGCUUUGGAGGAUGCUUUGAAUUCUGGCACAAGUCAAGUUCGAGAGUCAUUUCCUGGUAGCGGCAGUUAGUCAUCACCUGUCAGGUAGGACGGUAGGACAGAAGGCGUGUGGAGGAAUUGGAGAAGAAUUGGUGAAGAAUUGGAGGAAAAAUAAGAUAAACUGGUGGACACCCUGGGUUCCUUUAGACAGGAACAACCAACUUUUGGAUAUAGAAAUCCAUAAAAAGCCAUGGACUGAUGAAUCUGUACAGGAAUUUUGGGUGCAUGCUGGAGACAUGGGUGGCACAUGGGUACCCAGAUGCCUCCAGCUUCUCAGAAGACGCUUUGGAGAAGCAGCAGGAUGCAAACAGCAGCGAUUCUGCUUCAACCUGCUCCAGCAGGUUCCCAGGAAUCACUCUGAGGUCUGAAUCUGAAGACUCUGGAGUGGACUUGUCCAACGUGGGCAGCCCUAAGGAAUCGAGGUCAAGCGUUUUGACCUCUGAAGACUUCUUGGAACUCAAACCGACUUCUAUCUGUGAAAUUACCGAAGAAGAUGUAGAUGUCCAGCCUUCAUCUGCUUCUCCAUCUCCGUCCAUCUGCUCUUCAUCGUCUUCGUGUUUCUCAGAAGCUCAGGGGUCUCAGAACCGGUCCACAGCAGAAGGCUUAUCCUCAGUAGAGCAGGCUUUAAAGAGGACACGUUUCGAGUUCAAGAAGACGAGAUCCCUGGAGAAUAUGCUGGAUGUAAGACCUCGCCGACGCAGCAACACGACCUCGCUCAGCCGGGGUCUUCACACAGGGUUGACCGGACCACCCCACAGUACCGAAAGUGACCAGGACAGUCCAGGACACACUGUCCAGCAGGAUGAUGGGAAUAGUGAAGACCUUGUAGAGGGCGUGUAUGGCGUGGAGCCGGACUUGGACGGGCUCUCUCCGGGGCUGGUGUACCUGGAGCAGAUGUGCCGCAUGCUGGAGCAAAUCGCCCGACUACAACAGAAGAACCAGAACCUGCAGGUUCAGAUGGACACCAUCCGAGUUCAGAACGAGGCUGCCAGUGCACAAAAACCCGAGACUAGUUCGAAAUUUAGCAAAAGGUCGGACCCCCUGCGUCUUGAGGACCCAUCCAGCCUAACUUCCAAUGGUUUCCGCCACAGAACCGUCUCAGACACAUGGGCUUUCCUCAAACAUCGGAGAAAACCUAAACUUGAGAAGUUCGCUUCUACUGAAGUUCUGCUGGAGGAGCCUGUGGGGAACCUGGAGCCGCCGGUGGAAACAGAGCCGAGGAAGAAGAGCAGCAGCCUGAAGCAGAGGAUUAGCUCACUGAAAAAGAAUGACAAGAUAAAUCCCUCACGGAGCAGCAGUUUACAUGGUGAGAGGUCGGUGCUAAACCUGUUCAGGAACAGAAGAAAGACCACUCGGCUCUGAGACUCUACCAACCGGUGACUUUACUGUACCUGGAUAAGAAUAUAUAAAAAAUAUAGCUAACAUGAAUUUUAAGGCAUAAGAAACAAUAACAAUGCAUUGUAAUUUGCACUGCACUGUAACACUAGCAGCUUGUAUUUUCACAUAAAGCACUUUUUAGCAGUUAUGCUAAUGCUAACUGAAGAGCUCAUGUCUAAACCUGUGUUCUGUGGGUUAAACUAAAGGAUUCCACAGUUGCAUCAUACAGUGUGAGGCAAGGUUUAGAGCCUGUUUUGAGUAAUAUGAGUCAGACUGGUGGUUAAAACUGGAAAAAGCCAGUUUUAUAGUCCAGAUUUCUGAAAGGAUUCUCAGGUAGAGCUUUAAUUGUACGUACUUUGCUUUAUCAAUCUUUAGGUGAAUAUUGUUGAUUUUAAAUUAUGUAUAUAUUGAGAACAAUAAGCACUUACAGUUCCUACACUUGGAAUAAUCAAUACACAUCAUUACAGUUUGAUGAGAACCUUAGAGAACCUACUAUUUGACUCUUCGUUUCAUUUCUUCUACACAAAUCUGAAAUCUGCUCCUGAUAUAAUUAUUAUUGUUUUUAUACUUAAUAUAAAAGCACAUAUGGUCAACACAAUAAUACAUUUACUCAAUUAAUAUUUUAUAUUUUAUUAAAUAUAUUGUAUUUCUGAAAACAUUUGUUUUUAUUCCACUGUAAAUCAAUAUUUUCUAAUACUUAACUUUGUCUAAUAUUUCCUCAUAUAAUUUAAAAUGAAUAUAUUUUAAAAUAUAUGGUAGGUAUAUUAGAAAAUAUUUUAUUAAAAUAUUGCACAUGUUUGUGUGUGUGAAAUGUAUUUUUAAAUGAAAUGCACUGUAUUUAAUAUGUACUUCAAUUUUAUAAAAAAAUACAUUUUUUUUGUAUUUUAUUUUCAAAUAUGGAUGUAACAACUCCAAACAAAAAAGCAAAAAAAGUCUUGCUAAAAUAGAAAUUUUAGAAAAAAGUAUAUAUUUCAAUUUGGAGCAU
ensembl:lncRNA